rnacentral:miRNA from 1 species
ACUGGGUUGGCCAAAAAGUUCCCUUGGGCUUUUCCAUAAGAUGCUAUGAAAAAACUUGGAUGAACUUUUUGGCCAACCCAAU